GGCCCCCUGCUUGUUAGCAGCCUGACCGUGCGGUGCACUAUGCUCAUUGCGGGAUCAGCUUGCCCGAAUCUUCCGUUGCUUGUGUGACAUACCCUGAUGAGGGUACGAGUCGGUGCUGUCGAUGCCCCAUUCGGCUUUUGCCCGGCUUGAAGGCCGGGCUUGCCGCUUUUGCUUGCGGCGUGGCUCAUCGCCGUGGCACCUUAGCAUAGAUUUUGCGGGUGACCAGAGGCUGUUGUGCCUGCCCAAUCUCGGUCCCUCUUGGGUGCGGUUGAUCUUGCGGUCAAUGGGGGCUCCUCGCAGGAGCCCUCUGUCCCGGACCCUAUGUGGUCGCCGAUCGGUUCGGAUGUCCUCGGUGCGUCGUUGUGCUUCGGCCCCUCGUCGCUGCCGACACCGGUGCUGUGCUACCUGGUUGAUCCUGCCAGUAGUCAUAUGCUGUCUCAAAGAUUAAGCCAUGCAUGUGCAUGUAUGAACAAAUUCGGACUGUGAA
rnacentral:misc_RNA from 1 species